AAGGACUGGGAGGGACCGUCGAAGGACGAGUUAGUCUGCAAGGCGCUGUUUAGGGUAAAACCGGUGACUGGGGCU
rnacentral:rRNA from 1 species